rnacentral:lncRNA from 1 species
CCGGGCCGGCUGCGGAAGCUGUGGGCCUGGACUGGGGGUAGCAGCAGAGGGGCGGCCAGGUAGGUGCAGGAGUUCAGUGGCAUGACCAGGGCUCACUGCAACCUUGAUCUGGGCUCAAGUGAUCCUCCUACCUCAGCUUCCUGAGUAGCUAGGACCACAGGUGUGCACCAACCACACCCGACUAAUUUUUGUAGAGAUGAGAUCCCACUAUGUUACCCAGGCUGGUCUUGAACUCCUGGGCUCAGGUGAUCAUCCUGCCUUGGCUUCCCAAAGUACUGGGAUUAUAGGCUUGAGCCACCGUGCCUGGCCUGUGAUCAGAAUUCUCAUUUUUUUAGUCACUAAAAAUGCUGGGGGGCACUCCAUUCUCCAUUAUGUGAUUAGUUCACAUUGCAUGCUUGUAUCAAAACAUCAUAUAUACCCCACAAAUAUAUACAAAAAACUUUAAAAUUUUAAGUAUUAAUUGCUCAGGAAAAAAUUAAAAUGCUGGGGUGCUGAAAUCUCAAGGGCCCCAUUACAAAACUCCUUAGGAACCUCGCCCUCUCUCUGCUGUAAGGACUGGUUCCAGAAUGAGAGAAUUUAAAAGACAUUCCCCCCCCAAAAUGUUCAUAAUGUCACCCCGGAAACCUGCGAAUAUGUUAUAUUACAUGACCAGGGAGAAGUAAGGUUGCAGAUGGCAGUAAGGUUGCUAAUGGGCUGACCUUAAGAUAAGGAGAUGAUCCUGGAUUAUCUGGGUGGACCCAAUGUAAUCACAAGGGUCCUUAACUGUGGAAUAGUGAGGUGGCUGAGUCAGAGGCAGAGUGAUGCAAUGACUGAAAGACUUAACCAGCCAUCACCGGCUUUGAAUACGGAAGACGGUCAUGAGCCAGGGAAUGCAGGCAGGCUCUGGGAGCUGAAAAAAGCAAGAAAAUGGAUUCUCCCCUGGAGCCUCCAGAAGGGAUGCGGUCCUGCCAACCCCUUGUCAGUGAGCCAUUUCAGAUUUCUGACUUCCAGGACUGUAAGAAAAUAAACUUGUCUUGUUUUCAG